AGCCCAACGCGGGGCUCGAACCCGCAGCCUUGAGAUUAAGAGUCUCACGCUCUACCGAUUGAGCUAGCCGGGC